CAGCAGCCACGGUAAUACGAAGGGUGCAAGCGUUAAUCGGAAUUACUGGGCGUAAAGCGUGCGUAGGCGGUUUGUUAAGUCUGCUGUGAAAUCCCCGGGCUUAACCUGGGAAUGGCAGUGGAUACUGGCAAGCUAGAGUGUGUCAGAGGAUGGUGGAAUUCCCGGUGUAGCGGUGAAAUGCGUAGAGAUCGGGAGGAACAUCAGUGGCGAAGGCGGCCAUCUGGGACAACACUGACGCUGAGGCACGAAAGCGUGGGGAGCAAACAGGAUUAGAUACCCCAGUAGUCCCUGUCUCUUAUAC
rnacentral:rRNA from 1 species